rnacentral:rRNA from 1 species
GACAGAGGGUGCAAACGUUGUUCGGAAUUACUGGGCGUAAAGCGCGUGUAGGCGGCCCUGCAAGUCGGAUGUGAAAUCCCACGGCUCAACCGUGGAAGUGCAUUCGAAACUGCAGGGCUAGAGUCCUGGAGAGGAAGGUGGAAUGCUUGGUGUAGAGGUGAAAUUCGUAGAUAUCAAGCGGAACACCGGUGGCGAAGGCGGCCUUCUGGACAGUGACUGACGCUGAGACGCGAAAGCGUGGGGGAGCAAACAGG